rnacentral:rRNA from 1 species
GAUGAACGCUGGCGGCGUGCCUAAUACAUGCAAGUCGAGCGAACAGACGAGGAGCUUGCUCCUCUGACGUUAGCGGCGGACGGGUGAGUAACACGUGGAUAACCUACCUAUAAGACUGGGAUAACUUCGGGAAACCGGAGCUAAUACCGGAUAAUAUAUUGAACCGCAUGGUUCAAUAGUGAAAGACGGUUUUGCUGUCACUUAUAGAUGGAUCCGCGCCGCAUUAGCUAGUUGGUAAGGUAACGGCUUACCAAGGCAACGAUGCGUAGCCGACCUGAGAGGGUGAUCGGCCACACUGGAACUGAGACACGGUCCAGACUCCUACGGGAGGCAGCAGUAGGGAAUCUUCCGCAAUGGGCGAAAGCUUGACGGAGCAACGCCGCGUGAGUGAUGAAGGUCUUCGGAUCGUAAAACUCUGUUAUUAGGGAAGAACAAAUGUGUAAGUAACUAUGCACGUCUUGACGGUACCUAAUCAGAAAGCCAUGGCUAACUACGUG